rnacentral:rRNA from 1 species
GAUGAACGCUGGCGGCGUGCCUAAUACAUGCCAGUCGAGCGAACGGACGAGAAGCUUGCUUCUCUGAUGUUAGCGGCGGACGGGUGAGUAACACGUGGAUAACCUACCUAUAAGACUGGGAUAACUUCGGGAAACCGGAGCUAAUACCGGAUAAUAUUUUGAACCGCAUGGUUCAAAAGUGAAAGACGGUCUUGCUGUCACUUAUAGAUGGAUCCGCGCUGCAUUAGCUAGUUGGUAAGGUAACGGCUUACCAAGGCAACGAUGCAUAGCCGACCUGAGAGGGUGAUCGGCCACACUGGAACUGAGACACGGUCCAGACUCCUACGGGAGGCAGCAGUAGGGAAUCUUCCGCAAUGGGCGAAAGCCUGACGGAGCAACGCCGCGUGAGUGAUGAAGGUCUUCGGAUCGUAAAACUCUGUUAUUAGGGAAGAACAUAUGUGUAAGUAACUGUGCACAUCUUGACGGUACCUAAUCAGAAAGCAACGGCUAACUACGUG